rnacentral:ribozyme from 1 species
CCAAAAAAAAGAAAAAGAAAAAAAAAGAAAAAAAAACUUUUUCUUCUUCUUCAAAAAAACAACAACAAUCUUCUUCUUCUUCUUCUUCAACUUCUUUUUCUUCUUCUUCUUCUUUUUCUUCAACUGAUUUCCUUUAUGGUGAUUUUU